AUACAGCUUGGGAAGCACAUAGGCUAAGAUGGAAAAGGAACAGAAUAUUAAGUGUCAGCAUACCUACAUUUCACUCCCAAGUUCAAUUUCUGAUGCCUAACUAAACACAUGCAAUUUCACCAAACAUUCAAUUCCUUCAGCAGUUGCACCAGCCCCAACAUCUACUCCUGGCUGAUCAAUGAUUCUCAUUAUUAAUCUUUCUCCCUCUCUGAAAUCAAUUAAAAAAGGUUUUCUUAACCAACCUUUUACAUUU